AGCGAGGCUAGAGUCACGCCUGGGUACUGCCCGUUGUCCUGGUGUGCUAGAGUGCUCGCAGAGCAAUGUCUUUGUUUAUUCAUUGGCUGCAGUCUUCCGUGGCCCAGUCAAUCACCGACUCAGAUACAUUA
ensembl:snoRNA small nucleolar RNA SNORA3/SNORA45 family